AAACAGAACCAGGCUUGGAAGGGGAGAGUCAUUUUCAGAGUCAGCACUAUUACUGCCAAUUUGGAGAUUAAACUUCCUCAGUGAUUUGAGAACAUUAAUAUGGUAAAGGAUUUACCUACAGACUGCAGAGAAAUUGACUCUGCAGGGGCCAGCUGGAUCAGUGCUGGUGCUCCUGGAAAUCUGCUUCCCGCUGAUCGUGGGGAGCCAGCAACAAGCAUGAUGGGCUUCAGCAUCUUGGACAGGACAUCAGAGAUAGAGGACUUCAUCUUUUCCAUCGGGUGUCUAAAUCAUCACAUUGAUGUGCCCAGUGAUAAAUGCCAGGUGUUCCUCCUUUUAAGCCCAGCCCCAGUUCAGGGCGCUACUUGAGUGAAGCAGCUGCAGCAUCUUAUCCUGCCAGGUUCAAGGCCAACCAGGAAGAUGACUUGCUUUUUUCCCCAGUCGUUUCAGAGUUGGCUCUGAUUGAGUCAUCUGCCCAUUCCUGAGUGAGUGAGGAGUGAGAAGCUGAUUAGC
rnacentral:lncRNA from 1 species